UUACACAUUUUUUGAUCGGUGAUGAUAAAAUAAAAUUAUUUUUGAAAAACAAGUCUAACUUGUCAAGUCAUACGAUUCACUCGUUCAACAAAUUGGUUAUGCAGUUGUCGUUCAAGAAGUGUUUUUUGUUAGCUUAAAAGAGCUUCUGCGAGCUUUUUGUUUUCGAUUUCAAUUACAAAA